ensembl:snoRNA
AGCGAGACUUAGAGUCACAUCCUGACAUCUCCUCAUUGUUCUGGUGUGCUAAAGUUUUCGCAGAGUAAAAGUUCUCUGCUUAUUCAUUGGCUGCUGCUUCAUGUUGCCCAGCCAAUCACCAGCUUAGAAACAACU